GGUAACAGGAAGCAGCUUGCUGCUUUGCUGACGAGUGGCGGACGGGUGAGUAAUGUCUGGGAAACUGCCUGAUGGAGGGGGAUAACUACUGGAAACGGUGGCUAAUACCGCAUAACGUCGCAAGACCAAAGAGGGGGACCUUCGGGCCUCUUGCCAUCAGAUGUGCCCAGAUGGGAUUAGCUUGUUGGUGAGGUAACGGCUCACCAAGGCGACGAUCCCUAGCUGGUCUGAGAGGAUGACCAGCCACACUGGAACUGAGACACGGUCCAGACUCCUACGGGAGGCAGCAGUGGGGAAUAUUGCACAAUGGGCGCAAGCCUGAUGCAGCCAUGCCGCGUGUAUGAAGAAGGCCUUCGGGUUGUAAAGUACUUUCAGCGGGGAGG
rnacentral:rRNA from 1 species